AACGAACGCUGGCGGCAGGCCUAACACAUGCAAGUCGAGCGCGCCCUUCGCGGUGGGCUGCGGACGGGUGAGUAACGCGUGGGAACGUUCCCUUUUCCACGGACUAUCCUCGGGUAACUGAGAGUUAUAACGUAUACGCCCCUUCUGGGAAAGAUUACUCGGAAAAGGAUCGGCCCGCGUUGGAUUAGGUAGUUGGUGGGGUAAUGGCCUACCAAGCCGACGAUCAAUAGCUGGUUUGAGAGGAUGAGCAGCCACACUGGGACUGAGACACGGCCCAGACUCCUACGGGAGGCAGCAGUGGGGAAUCUUAGACAAUGGGGGCAACCCUGAUCGAGCCACGCCGCGUGAGUGAUGAAGGCCUUAGGGUUGUAAAGCUCUGUCAGCUGGGAAGAUAAUGACGGUACCAGAAGAAGAAGCCCCGGCUAACUACGUG
rnacentral:rRNA from 1 species